rnacentral:lncRNA from 1 species
AAAUUUUUCAACCUUAGUCCGUGAUGAUUGUGAUAAGCAGAGAUGUUCAAUUCCUUGAACGUGAGCAAUGAGACUGGAAUGAGGAAUCUCAAAUCAAACAUCAUAUCUUGCAAUUGGAUCCAGAUGAGUUAGAGGACGAACAAUCUGUAAGGAGAACAAGAUAACUUUCAGAUAUUUAUAAAAAAUGUAAUGUUGCUGUUUUUGAGCAUGCAGGAUAUGAUAAAGCAAAAACAGAUCAAAAAUGGAUAGAUGCAACGAAGGAGGAGUUGGCAAUAAUUUAAAAGAACUAGACUUGAAAGCUAGUGGAGAGGCCCCAAGAUAGAAAGGUAAUUGGGGUUAAAUGGGUAUUUAGGACAAAACUAAAUCCUGAUGGUUCAAUAAACAAACACAAAGCAAGACUGGUUGUAAAAGGUUAUGCACAAGUUUGGGGUGUAGAUUUUUCUGAAACUUUUGCGCCAGUAGCCAAAUUGGAUAGCAUUAGAAUGUUUUUGGCUUUAACAACACAAAAGGGAUGGAAGACCUUUCAAAUGGAUGUGAAGGGUUCCUUCUUGAAUGGUAUACUCCAAAAAAAAAUUUAUGUUGAGCAGCCACAAGGUUUCAGUUUACUAAAAAAUGAAGAAAAAGUCUAUUUAUUGAAGAAAGCUCUCCACAGAUUGAAACAGGCUCCUAGAGCUUGGUACAACAAGAUAGAUGAACAUUUGCUCAACUUUGGCUUUGAAAAGAGUUUAAGUGAAUCAACUCUUUAUGUCAAGAGAGUUGGCUGUAACAUAGUUAUCAUUUCUCUUUAUGUAGAUAAUUUACUUGUUACUGGAAAUAAUGUUGUACAAGUUGAAGAAUUCAAGGAGAUGAUGAAGGUCUUUGAGAUGAUAGACCUUAGAGAGAUGACAUAUUUUUUGGGUAUGGAGAUUAAACAAAUGCAAAAUGAAGUCUUCAUUUGCCACAAGAAAUAUCUGAAGGAGAUUCUAAAAAGGUUUAAAAUGAAAGAAUGCAAGAGUGUGAAGACUCCUAUGAAUAAAAAGGAGAAGCUGCAUAAAGAAGAUGAAUCUUAACUUGUUGAUGAAGGAAUAUACAAAAGCUUAAUUGGAUGUUUAAUGUAUCUCACAGCAACAAGGCCAGAUAUCUUAUUUUCUGUGAGCAUUUUAUUUAGAUUUUUGAAUUCUGCUAGAGAGUUGCAUAUGAUGGCUAUUAAAAGAAUGCUUAAUUGAAGUUUGGAUAUGAGAUCCAAACUUGUUUUGUACUUUAUUAAUGAGGGGAAGGAUUCACUAAUUUUCUUUUUGAGCCAACAAGUUUGUUGGAUAUCUAAUAACAACGCUUGUUUUAUACUUUAAUAAUUUUUUUUUGUUUUCUAUGUUUAAAUAAUUUGUUCCAUUUCUAAUUCUUUUUCCAUGAAAAAUUUUGUACAAUUGGAGUAUGUUAUUAUUAAUUAAAAACUUAACAAAAAUUGUAGUGUUAGUUAAAUAUUGUUAGUAAAAAGUUAGAAUGACCCAAAAUAAAUCACUUUGUCAAGUAAAAAUAAGAUUAAAAAAAAGCUGAUGAUGAAAACUAUAAAAUAAAAUGAAUAGAAGAUGGCUCCAUGUGCUGCAUACUGAUGGAGUCUGUGUUAAGAAUGGAUCCCAAUGGGUUUUUCUAUUUUUUUUUUUUUGACUUUGACCAUGUGGACAGCCAUUGCCAAAUUAAUGUCAACUACAAAAAUGUGACAAGUAUAAAUAAAAGCAACGAAGGAGACGCCAAAGCUAUAAAAAUAAAACGAAUAGGAAAUGUGAAAACUAUAAAUAAACAACUGCCCAAUCAUUUUUUCAAGUAAAUUUGUCCGGUCAUUUGUGCACACCUCUGAACCCAGAAUUUUAUCAUGCAAGAAACACAGAUGGGUUGGCUACUCUAAUAUAUAUUGGUCUUGGGGUUUGGGUAUGCAGCAUGUUUCCGAUCUGAUUCCAUUAAAUUACCUUCACAUCACCAUUGUGAGGUCAGGCCUGUACUGGUGAAAUAGGCUAUACUAGCAGAUCAAGUAGUUGUCUUCCGUCAAGGUAUGUUCUUGCACUCUUUGGAUUUGUUUGUUUCCUCGGAAAAUAAGCUUGACUUUCCUUCUCCUCAGGCUAAUCCGGGUGCCCCAAGGAUCUUUCCUUGGUUACCAUUUGAAGUUUUCUUCGUUGCUUCCGUGUUUUUUACCUGCACCACUCUAGUUCUUGUUCACCGUGCUCCGUUUUUCAUUUAUCAAUUCUGAUUUUAGUAAAGUUUCCAUUUGUUUGGAUUGUGAGAUUGGCUUUGGAUGUGAUCUUUUUCAAUUAUCUCCAUGACAUAAUUUUGGGUUUAUCUGUAAAUUUGUUUUAUGGCUAAAAUCUAAUUUAAUCAAUCUUGAAUAUCAUUUUUAAUCAUGUUUAGGCGGAUAUUUAUGUCGAAUACGAAGUGGAGUGAGAGCUACAAUCAGCACAGUAUAUUUUACGUUGAAAAAGAAAAUUAUAUAGCUUUGGUAUAUCUACCUUAUUGCUCUAUUUCUAGUUCUGAUAUGAGUUUGAGAUACAGUUUUAAGAUAAUAAUACGUCACCAAAGGCAUAUACUCACAAACACACAUAAACAUACAAAAAAGUCUUGGAUACACAUUAUUGUGUGCUAUGGGUUAUAGGCUAACAUAAACUAUUAUAGACACUUACAGUUGGCAAAAAAUCAGUAUUUUACGAGUUAAUGCGUAGUAAUUUUCUUUUAUAGUUUUCUUUUAUCUUUAUUGCUCAGAUUCCAGUUUAGUGUUAUUUUAAAUUAUGUAUUAUCAAAUUAACAAAUUUGUGGGGAGAAGCUGUAAAAAUAAUUUGUUAUUGUAAAAAGGGAUGGAACACUUGUGCCAUGGUAGUCCAUUGAUGCUAACGGAGAUGGCUAUUGAAGAUGAAGUCUUGUGUCAAGGAUGUGGGAAGACCAUUUCAGGUCAGAGCUACGGUUGCAGUGAGCAUAAGUUUUAUCUGCAUAAAUCCUGUGCUGAGCUUCCCUUAAAGAUUAAGAGCAUCUUCCACUUAAAGUCGCCUUACUCUGCAUAAGGAUUACACUAAGGAUAGUGAAAAAAGUUGUAUAUGUUAUUGUUGUAAGAAACAUAUACCAGGUUUCAGAUACAGUUGUGACAAUUGUNNNNNNNNNNNNNNNNNNNNNNNNNNNNNNNNNNNNNNNNNNNNNNNNNNNNNNNNNNNNNNNNNNNNNNNNNNNNNNNNNNNNNNNNNNNNNNNNNNNNNNNNNNNNNNNNNNNNNNNNNNNNNNNNNNNNNNNNNNNNNNNNNNNNNNNNNNNNNNNNNNNNNNNNNNNNNNNNNNNNNNNNNNNNNNNNNNNNNNNNNNNNNNAAAGUAAUCAACUUCCGUCAUCCAUGUCCUAUGCUCCUGCGCAAGCUUCCCCCCAUACAUCUGUGGUAUUUGUAACCAAAUGCGUUCAGGUGUUGUAUUCCGAUGCGAGAAGUGUGACUUAAAUAUGGAUAUUGAAUGUGUUCUCCGUCACAAGACGAUUAAUCAUUUUAGCCAUGGACACCCAUUGACACUUUCUCACAAGAAAGAUGAUGAUGGUGCUUGCUGCAGAGCUUGUGGGAAGAAAUGCUCGGGUGCCACCUACUCUUGCAAUAGAUGCAGCUUUUGUUUACACGAAUCUUGCGGGGAAUUACAACGAGAGAUUCAUCAUGAACUUCAUGAACACCCUCUUACUCUCUUUGAUAAAUCAUUUCGAUGCGAUGCAUGCUUAGUGGAGUCCAAUGGUUUCACCUACAACUGCUCAUCGUGCAACUUCAAUCUCCAUGUUGAGUGCACUUCCUUGGCACCUUCUAUUAAAUAUGAAGGUCAUGAUGAGCAUCUUCUUACUUUUGUAAGUCAUGUUUAUGGGAAGCCUCCUUGCCAUGUGUGUGAUUCUAAAUAUUCUUGGGAUUAUAAAUAUUCUGGUGAUCCUAAAUAUUCUAAUAUUUCUAAAUAUUGUGGGGAUUCCUAUUUACGCUGUGUGAAGUGUGAUUUUAAUGUCCACCUCAUGUGUGUUCCGCUCCCUUGUGUAAUUGAACAUCCUUGCCACACUGAUCCUCUUGUUCUUAAAGAUUGUCAUAUAGACGAUGCUUCUGAAGGUCAAGAGUAUAUUUGCGACGUUCUUGAUUGUGAGCUGGAAAGAGAUCCUCGAGAAUGUGUUUAUUAUUGUGAAGAAUGUGACUUUGUAGCUCAGCUUGGUUGUGUUUUGGGAGAGGUAAUUACCGUCAUUAGUAAUUAUCAUCUAUCUCACUUCAUAUAUGCUUUUUGUUUAUGAUUAAAAGUAUGGGGGAAUAAUUUUCGUACAUGUUUGUCUGCCUUGCAGCUCUUGCCUCUAUUACAAGGAAAGUGUGGAAACGUGGAAUGGAAAAAAGUUGACAGAGAUGUUGCAGUUAAAUUACUGGAAAGAAAAUUCAUUUCCUUCAAUGACAUACUAAACUCUUUUGAUGAAGAUGAUAAGAAGGAAAUGGAUCAUGUUUUAUCAUCUUUUCGCAGGGAGCGUGACAUAAUCUUUAACAAUUCACCUGAGGACCAUUUGUCAAACUACGCCAAUAAUUUCUUUAAAUAUCAUUCAUAUUUGGACGAGGCUUUCUUCAGGUUUGCAGGCACAAUUGAGCCUAGAAUACCACUUGAGCUCACAAUCAAUGGAUUAGAGAUUGUCAAAGUUGGAAAUCAUGAGGUCACAAAACAAUUAAAACCUGUCUUAGAAAAGUUGAUUGAAAAAUAUGGUGAUUUCACCGCUGACUCCACUUUAAAAAGGCCCAAUGUCAAGACAUAUCACCUGGUUAUGUUUUGCCAUGUCGUACAUAGCAUGUGCAACACUAAGGUUAUGAAUAUCAAUGCAGAUUUACUGAGACAAUGGUGGAUUAACUGCAAAUUAGCACAGCGUGCUGGAUUCAAAAUUCAAUUUGCCUUUGAAAGUCUGAACAAAGUAGCAUAUGUUCGGUUUACCCUUGUAUCUGAAUUACAUGCAGGUGCCAUCCUUGAUCAAUAUGAUGAUCGAAUCACAGAGUAUUCUAAUCGGAUUAUGGAAUGCAGAAAACAAUUAGAGGAACUCAAAGAAAAGCGUGUGCAACAUGUAUCAUCUACUAGAUUCGCAGAAUCAAGUCAAGCGGAGGGAUUCUUGCGCGAAGCUUUGGCCUUGAGAUUGAAUACAGCAAUGGCUAAUAUGUUGUAAUCUAUGCAGACACCUGAAUUACUUUCAUGUUUAAGCAUUCAUAAUUCAAUUGCAUCCUUGUCAGGUCUUUUGAUUUGUUGUCCUUAUGAUGUAACUGGCAAUAAACAAGUUUCUGAGUUUAUCAAGACAAGAAAGCCUUACUUCGUCUUGCUUCCCAAAAAAUUCAUUUAAAACUAGAAAUUGAUUCUAAUUAGUUCAGAAAUCAGUUAUUAAUUUCAGGUAAUUGAUUGUGAUCACUUUUGCCAUAAUCCUACCUAUAUAUCUACAUUGAGUUAUUCAAGAUGAGAAUUUGUACAGAUGACUAGAAUGGGCGAGUAGUAACAGCUUGAAAUACAUGAAGUACUAAGCAAUUAUUUUGGCUCCUACGAAAUACAAACCUCUAUUCAAAUUUGGAAAGAAAAAGAAAACGAAAAAUGAACUAAAAAAUUAACAAAGACGUACUUAAGAAAUUAGCCCAAGUUCAUUAGCAGCUUAAGAAAUUUUUGUCUCCAUGUCCAUAUCUCUGACAUCCGCAGGAAGAAAAAGAAUAGCGUCCAGUGUCUACUUCAAAGAAAAUCAACUAUCACUUUUUUAAACUAAGUUCUAAUGGAGUGCCUUCUAAUGCGACAGAGACACCUAAAAGAACUAGAUAAACGUUUAAUAUAUCGUUAAUAAUAAUUAUCGCCUAUGUAAGAAAUGCAAAAAGAAAAUGCUUUUUAAGUAUUCCCUUUUACCCUAAGAUGACCCAGAUGCAAUUCUAGAAUCAUAUACGAAAUAUAACAUCUGGAAAGCGCAGUUACACUGGCACCAAUAACAAGUACCAAAUACACUACCAAUACAAAUUAAUCCCUUAAAAACUUGAAGAAAAAGUACUCAAUUCAAGCAACUCAAGCAGACAUUCAGAACAACUAAUACGUAAAGUAUACCAAUAUAAACAUAUGCAUAAUCCAGAAUUUGAAUUGGCAGUACCAGAGUUGGAGUCGGCGAGCCCGCUGAGCUUUACAGGUUCCUGUGAGGCGGGCUCCAAAAUAAGAGUUCGGCAACUUUGAUACUGACACCCAUGAGAAUCAUCAGGCAACUGAGGAUUUGAAUAGUGUGAUUUUAAGAAUCCAAAUACAAAGUGUUGAUUGAGAUUCUUCUUUCUGCACAUGGUAAGGACGACGUUUUGGCCCAUCGACCUUGUUAUGGCCCUUAAUGAUAGCAUUUUCACUUGAAAAAUAGGAAGCGCAACAAACAGCAUAUCGGAUAUUUGUGUGCAAGGCGUGAGGCCGAGGAAACGACCAUCCACGGUCCACCAACGAACCACUGCAUGAGAUAGAACAAACGACGUUAACAGGUUGGGAAGCCACAGAGCGGGGAGCACAGCCAGGUGCUCCCAAUCAUUGGGUCAGUCGCAAGCAGACAGGGAAGAUUGGGGAUUUAGCUGCGUUGGGUUGCUUUUUUAUUAUCAUUGUUAUUUGAAUUGGCUGCUGCGUUGAUCGGGCUUCGUCCCCAAGUAGCCUGAAAUUGAAAAGGCAGUGAUCCAUCCAUGGUCCUCUAGCAACGGUCAGGUAGAUAAACUCUACCCUGUGUUGGCUUAGAAACAGUGCAUUUAAAAAUUUUAUUUUGAUGAUUAAAAAGGGAUAGAUUAGAGAUGAAUAUUUAUUAAAAUUUAUUGAAAAAUUUUAAGUAUAUUCAUGAAUUUCUUUUUAGGAGCUAAAAAUAGAAUGAGAUAUUGUGGUGUUUAUUAAACUUUAUUUAAUUUUUUUAGAAUAUACUUAUCAUUUUUUGCAUCUGCGCGUCCUUACUUAGUAUAUUCAUGAAUUU